rnacentral:lncRNA from 1 species
UAGUUUUAUUAUAAUAGCUAAGUAAAAAAAAUACAAAAAAAGUGAUAAUUACAAAGUACAUAUGCAAAUAAAGAUAGCCACUAUACUCUGAGUCUUUCAUAGUUAUGGACCUUUGCUUUAUUUAUCUUUGUGUUCUCAGCACCUAACAUAAUUCCAGUUUUCCCAAUAAGUAAAAUUCAGUUUUUUUAAUUUUAUUUUUAAAAAAUCCAUUGUUAUCUAGCACUCAGUCGUAUCUCUUGCAUUAUCUUUUGCCACUUUUGAAUUGUAUUCUCCAACUGGAGUUAUUAUACAAUUCUGAGUUCAUGAAUUCAUCUUGUAACAUCUUGGGGUCUUUUCAUGUGUUCUAGGAACCCUCCUAAUUUCUGUCCUCUUGGCUGUAUUCUACUCAACCUCAGGCUCAUUCUUUCUACCAUUUCUUCCAGUGUGUCUUCCAACAUCCCACAGGUGAUUUGGGGUGCUUCUCUUCUGUGUCUUUGUGAGAUUCUAUAUGUAGUUGCUAACAAAACACUUCAUACAGAGUAUUAUACCUACCUGUGUUCCCUGUUAGUUUACAAACUCUCUGAGAAAAAAAGGCUCUAUUGCACUCAUUUUUGAACAAGCACACAGCAAAGAGUCAUAGAAUAGGCCCUCAAGAGAUAUCUGUAAAAUGAAUUCUAGUGUAUCAUAAGAAAAUAUUAGGAGUUCCCUGCUGUGGUGCAAUGGGAUUGGCGGUGUCUCUGCAGCACCAGGACACAGGUUCAAUCCCUGGCCCAGCACAGCAGGUUAAAGGAUCCAACAUUGUAGCCUCUAAGGUAUAGGUCACAACUGCCACUCAGAUCUUAUCCCUGGCCCUGGAACUCCACAUGAUGAGGGGCAGCCAAAAAAGAAAAAAAGUACUUAAUAAAUGAAGGAUUUUCUCAUUUUUAUCUUUGGGGAUCUGGUAUUAGUUACGAAAGGGUUCUCAAAAAGCGUAAGUACUUGGAGGAUGUGCAGUCUUCUUAAAAGAUUGUGAGGAAAGAUGUUCAUUGUAAAAUAUGGUUUCUUGUCAAAUUUGUGAAAGCUUUUUCAAUAUGACAUUAAACUUGAAGUUUCUGCUGAUAGGCAGAAAUACAGCAGGUGUCAAAUAUCUCUGAGUCUAGUGUAGGAUAGUCCCUCUUGCAGAAAUCUUCAAAGCCACUCUUUCAUAACUGAUUGCAGGUAUCUUGGAUCGAUUAUCUCAUACUGAGGAUAAAAGAGGGGCAUAGAAAGGAAUUUGUGAGACAGGUUCUUUGCAGAGAACCAAUGGGGUGGUGAAUCUCUUGCUCAGAGAUGCUCCCCCCCCACACACACACCUGCACCUAAGGAAGGUAGAGGGACUCAGCCUUCUUCCUUUCCAGCCUAAAACUGAAAGGCUUCAAUGGAACCUUCAUGGAGUUUAAUGUGUAAUUUUGAGUCUGGAAAGCAGUGCAGAUAUAUAUGAUCCAAGUGUGAGAAAUCCAGAAGGUGAGAGAGAUGAUCCAGGUGGCUGCUUACUAAAGGAGAAGUGACUUGGGCAUAAGGCAGAAGACAUGGGAACAUUUCCCCUAGAACAAAUGUGGGUCAUGUGACAAAGAGAGCCAGUGUCCGGUAAGCUGUCUUCUCCUCAAGAGGACUGCUUGUAGGGCAAGCAGGGUCCCAUAGAGAGAGGUCUCUGUGGCUGGGACUUCCAAAGGCAUCAGCAUCCAGAGGAAAACACACUGUCCGCAUCCAAAACCCAGGAGGGCAGCCUCUCAACACCUCAUGAAAGCAUCCCCAAAAGAUCGCUAUUCCAUACCUGCUAGGUCCCAAACGCAUAGAACUAUUUUAUCAAGCCUUUGCCAAGUCAGCAAAAACCCUGGGGCACUUUUGCUCUUUUCUCCCCCAGCUCCAACCCCAACUUCAGGGCCAGGCAAGAGAGAAAGGGGAGAGAAAAGAUAAAAGCCAACCAUGUCCCCUUCUUCAAAGACAAGAACCCUGCCUAUGCUUCAAAGCCAACAAGAACGUAUUUUAUAAAACAGUAUGAGUCAAUGGCCUUUCGGAAAGAGCACAGCUGAUUUAAAAGUAUGAGGAAAAAAAAAUAAAAGUAUGAGAAAGAUUUAUAGGGAAAAUAUGACCCGCAAAAAGUAAAUUUUAAAUUUAUUUUAAACUUUCAUUGUUUUAUUUAGCCAUUUUUAGUAGCUACAGUCCAAAGGCUAUAAAGAAGUCUUCAGUCAUAACUUUAGUCUGCAAAAAUAUCUCAAAAUAUGGAUACAGAACACCAAGCUUCAUUGCACUUUUGCAGGAAUAAUCAGGGGUAAAAUAGUGUGAACACCAUAUGGCAAUGCUAUGUUAUCCUCCACCCCAAGAGAGUUAAAGAAUUUCAGUGCUAUUCAGUAACACAAUCAAGUAGUCAAAUUAAACCGUUUCUAUUCACUUCACUGAGGAAAAUAUUAUUUUAUCCAAUCUGUACCAGGAAAAAUAAAUGAAAAUAUUUUAACCCUUAAUACAACUGAUUCUGGCUGAAGGGAAAAUCAGGAAGUUGGAUUGAUGGGCAAGGAAGAGGAGCAUCCAUGAGAACAAAGGAGUCUGAAUUCAUGAGAGAAAGGUGUAGACAGAGAUGGGGCUCAUUGAGUCUUCCGUGCUAUCAGGCCAUAAAAUGUUGUCACUGGAAAGGGCAUAACUACUUCCUUUUACAGAUGAGAAAACUAGGAUCCAGAAAGAUAAAUUCAUUUACUUAUGGUCCAAUAAUAAUGUGACAAAACUGGGACUCAAGCUUAGGUCUUUGAAGUGUAAACAUUGAGGCCAUUUCUCUUCAUUUCUUGGAGCUUGCCUUCUAAGGCAGGUGUCAGUAGGAUGUUCUUAGAGAAGAACAUUAAAAAUAAAACAUAGAGGAAGAAUCCUAAAGGCCAAGGGAACAGAAAGAUCAAUACUCAAGAAUAAAUAGAAACAAACCGUUUCCAAUGUAAAAGGUUUAUUCUCUGUAGGCCAGUUAGUUUCAGGAGUAUGAGAAUAAGGGAAUAACCAAUAAAGGAGUAUAAUCACUGAACACAUGGUUUAAGAAGUCUUCAUGAAGGCAUGGGGGAUUUGAGGUUGAGAAAAAUUUGUUAAAAGCUUUGAGCCGGUUUGGACUAUGGAAUGUUCUAAAUAUAAGGAAUUACUGUAAUUUCUUCAUUUUUCUGUAGAAUCUAGGAAUGGUGGUUUAUUAACCCAAUUUUCAUCACAGGAAGGAAAAAGACAGUACCGUUUUUUCUCCAUGAGAUGUUUUCUGUAGAAAGACAUCCUAAUCCUUUCCUAAGAGCUUUGUAUGGUCCUCAGUCCUAUUCAUUUUGCUGCAAGAGAUCAUUCAGCCAAUCUGGGCUCAGCAGUGAUCAUGGAAAUAGUUGGCGAGAGAGUUGAUGGAUAUGAAAACAGAGUGAGACUUCACACCCCAGAGUUUAUGCUGGGGAGUGAGAAGGAAAAGAGCCUCCUGACUGGGAGAAGGUUUCAAGAGGCACUCUCCUCCCUGGGUGGGAUCCAGGGCCAGCCUCAUCACCUGCCUUGGCUCUGAAUCUCAGCGAUUCACAGAGGAAUGGGGUGCAGAAUUCUCUCCGACAAAGGCGUACACUCCUAUGACUUGCUGGAGCCAAGACUUCAAGAGCCUCUCCGUAUACAAACCUUUAAAAGAAACAUGUCCUGAGAGCUCUAACUGACUCUGUUAGGUUAAUAUUCUGAGAAUAUUCAGGGAGGGGAAGAUAAAUUGCAGUUGGUUGAAAAAUGCAACGGGAAUGUCUCGACUUAAUUUGGCCAACUGCAGUUGCUCUGCGUUAAAUGGCUGGCACAGCGAGAGGUGAGAUUUUAAGCCACUGAGGAACACUUGUGAGUCACCUACACAUUUGCAAUCUGAUGUGGAUUAUGUAAGCUUCUCAGGGAGAGAAUGGCAUUCUUGGAUUUGGAGAAAUUGCAAUGGAAUCAGUACAGAUUCCACUGAAUUGCAUAACAUGGGGCGAGUCACCCAGCAUAGCAAGGCUCUGAGAUCCUCUGUGGGAUAACAUUUAUGACUAUCUAGGUAAAGCUCCACAGUCCAAAGUUUGAAACAGAUCAGACAGGAGGCAAAAGGCAUGCUAGUCAAGUGCGUGUUUCUGUCUGAACACGUGGAAAAGAAAACACAAACACAUCUUGCAUUUAAGCAAUGAAGAAUCAUCAUUAAAUAAGUAGCUUCCAUGUGGCUGUUACUGUCCUGGAUAUAAAUCUGAGGCAUGAGCUAAUAUAUUUCCAACCCUUGAGGUAUAAUCAGGACCCAGUUUCUGCUGGUCCCCAAUGAAAACCAGAAACUCACAGUACAGACUGUAAUUACUAAUUAAUCUGAUUUGACAGAAGAUGUGAAAUAUAUUUGCUCUGCUACUCAUCAUGUUUUGUAUGAUAUACAAUGAUAUUGAACUAUUGUUCAAGGCAAAAAAGACAUGACCUAAUCUAAGGCAAUGUAUAAUGACAAAAUGAGCCCUGGACUGGGCGCCCAGUGAUUUAAGUCUUAUUUCUGCCUAUAAGGACUUGGGCAAAAGGGCUCUCUUCCUUCAUCUAUAAAAUGAUGAUGACAACUCACUGAUGCUUGUUUAUCCUGCUUCACAGUAUUUUUAGGAAUAUUCCAGAAGCAAUAUGCUAGCUAAAUCUCAUGGGAGGCCAGGGUCUUGCUUGCUAAGGUAGUCCAGCAGGGAACUACCUCAGGGCUGGGAAAAUGUGAACAGAAGAGAGCUUUAGGGUCAGCCGAUAUCAGGAGUUCCCGUCGUGGUGCAGUGGUUAACGAAUUUGACUAGGAACCAUGAGGUUGCGGGUUCGGUCCCUGCCCUUGCUCAGUGGGUUAAUGAUCCGGCGUUGCUGUGAGCUGUGGUGUAGGUUGCAGAUGUGGCUCGGAUCCUGUGUUGCUGUGGCUCUGGUGUAGGCCGGUGGCUACAGCUCCGAUUGGACCCCUAGCCUGGGAACCUCCAUAUGCCACUGGAGCGGCCCAAGAAACC